rnacentral:rRNA from 1 species
UACGUAGGGUGCAAGCGUUGUCCGGAAUUAUUGGGCGUAAAGAGCUCGUAGGCGGUCUGUCGCGUCUGCUGUGAAAACUCAGGGCUUAACCCUGAGCUUGCAGUGGGUACGGGCAGACUAGAGUGCGGUAGGGAGACUGGAAUUCCUGGUGUAGCGGUGAAAUGCGCAGAUAUCAGGAAGAACACCCGUGGCGAAAGCGGCUCUCUGGAACGGUACUGACGCUGAGACGCGAAAGCGUGGGGAGCGAACAGG